rnacentral:misc_RNA from 1 species
GACCAGAAACACCUGUACACCAUAUUCGUAGUACCACCGCCCCACGGCUCCCGACUCUUCAAGCUCCCACUGACACCUCCCCUCCUGAAUCCGACCCGCAUCAGAUUCUGCUGCACAUUCGGCAGCGGCUUGGAAGGGGUGAGGACUCGGCCGGCGGUCAAUUCGGCGGUACCGGACAAGAGAUUGGAGGCGGACAUGAUG